GAUGAACGCUGGCGGCGUGCCUAAUACAUGCAAGUCGAGCGAACAGAUGAGGAGCUUGCUCCUCUGACGUUAGCGGCGGACGGGUGAGUAACACGUGGAUAACCUACCUAUAAGACUGGGAUAACUUCGGGAAACCGGAGCUAAUACCGGAUAAUAUAUUGAACCGCAUGGUUCAAUAGUGAAAGACGGUUUUGCUGUCACUUAUAGAUGGAUCCGCGCCGCAUUAGCUAGUUGGUAAGGUAACGGCUUACCAAGGCAACGAUGCGUAGCCGACCUGAGAGGGUGAUCGGCCACUCUGGAACUGAGACACGGUCCAGACUCCUACGGGAGGCAGCAGUAGGGAAUCUUCCGCAAAGGGCGAAAGCCUGACGGAGCAACGCCGCGUGAGUGAUGAAGGUCUUCGGAUCGUAAAACUCUGUUAUUAGGGAAGAACAAAUGUGUAAGUAACUAUGCACGUCUUGACGGUACCUAAUCAGAAAGCCACGGCUAACUACGUG
rnacentral:rRNA from 1 species